AUGUACCACUCGUACACUGCAGUUCCUGUGCGCCGUCCGCACCCACCUGACGACUGCUCGCGACAUUUUGUUAGCC
rnacentral:sRNA from 1 species